AUUGAACGCUGGCGGCAGGCCUAACACAUGCAAGUCGAACGAGUGGCGGACGGGUGAGUAAUGUCUGGGAAACUGCCUGCUGGAGGGGGAUAACCAAUGGACACGGUAUCUAAUACCGCAUACCAUCGGAUGUGCCCAGAUGGGAUUCGCUAGUAGGUGGGAUAACGGCUCACCUAGGCGACGAUCCCUAGCUGGUCUUCGAGGAUGACCAGCCACCUUGGAACUGAGACACGGUCCAGACUCCUACGUGAGGCAGCAGUGGGGAAUAUUGCACAAUGGGCGCAAUCCUGAUGCAGCCAUGCCGCGUGUAGGAAGAAGGCCUUCGGGUUGUAAAGUACUUUCAGCGGGGAGGCGUUACCCGCAGAAGAAGCACCGGCUAACUCCGUGCCAGCAGCCGCGGUAAUAC
rnacentral:rRNA from 1 species